GCCUUGUGGUUCCUAGAGACUGCUGAUCUGUGGGGUUUGAUUGACAGGCAAAUAUUAAAAUUAUCUGUGAUUUAUGCAUGGGAGCUACCACUCCAAGUAACUUCCUUAGCCCGGUUGUUGAGACAUUC